UACGUAGGGUGCGAGCGUUGUCCGGAAUUAUUGGGCGUAAAGAGCUUGUAGGCGGUUUGUCGCGUCUGCUGUGAAAAUCCGGGGCUCAACCCCGGACUUGCAGUGGGUACGGGCAGACUAGAGUGUGGUAGGGGAGACUGGAAUUCCUGGUGUAGCGGUGAAAUGCGCAGAUAUCAGGAGGAACACCGAUGGCGAAGGCAGGUCUCUGGGCCGUAACUGACGC
rnacentral:rRNA from 1 species